CAGUCGCCGCGGUAAUGCGAAGGGUGCAAGCGUUAAUCGGAAUUACUGGGCGUAAAGGGCGCGUAGGCGGACAGUUUAGUCGGGGGUGAAAGCCCGGGGCUCAACCUCGGAAUUGCCUUCGAUACUGGCUGUCUUGAGUGUGAGAGAGGUGUGAGGAACUCCGAGUGUAGAGGUGAAAUGCGUAGAUAUCGGAAGGAACACCUGUGGCGAAAGCGGCUCACUGGACCAUAACUGACGCCGAGGCGCGAAAGCUAGGGGAGCAAACAGGAUUAGAUACCCCAGUAGUCCCUGUCUCUUAUAC
rnacentral:rRNA from 1 species